rnacentral:misc_RNA from 1 species
CGGAGUUCAUUCUUCCGGCGGCAUCGACGACAUCGCCUUCGCCGAUGGCGACGCUGAGGCUAAUAUCUCCUUCUUCUUCGGUCUCUGCCUCUUCGCGGCUCUCAUAAUGGGGGGGGGGGGGGGAGCCGGGGGGGGCGGGUGUGGUUUCGAUAUGGUGUACCACAGCGUGUCGAAUUUUCUCCCGUCAGAAGGCCGGUGGACGGGUUAGAUCUGGAAACUCCGCCAAAAGUCGAUGGUAGACCGUUUCGCCGUAUACGGUUUUGAUGGACAUCUCCUUAGUCGAGACGGGAUAUCCUUUUGAUGCCAGUUGGGUUGUGGUGUCGAGGAGUCGUCUGUUUCGCGGGUCCACGAGCAACCCAUAGUGGCUCAGAAAGUCUACGCCG